CCACAGCAAGACCCCAGGAUGAAAAUGUACCCUAACAAAAAAAAAAAAAACAUAAUUAAUACAAUUGGUCCUUUAAUAUUUUAUCUUACUCUGAGGAACCCUCAGACAUUGGGAGUGGAGAUUUUCACACAGGAGGGCAUAAGUUGCCCUAAGUGACACAGAACACGUUCUGAGAGUUAGGAAGAGAAAUACAGGUAUCUGCCUAACCAGUACUUGCAGUCCUGCCCAUAACCCAGUUUUCCAUCAUGCUUGGUGUCUUAGUCUGUCUGUGUUGCUACAUAUCUGAGGCUGUGGGUAACUUAGAAAGAGGCUUAUUUGGCUCAUGGUUCAGCAGGCUGUGCAAGCAUAGCACUGGCAUCUGACCUGCUUCUGGUGAGGACUAUUUGCUGUGUCAAACAGGGCAGAGAAGGUCAAGGGCAGUGAGCCAAACCCGAGGGACGGCUUGGCUUUAUCACAACCAUGCUCCCAGUAACUAGUGCAUUCCCCUACAAACCAAUCCAGGCUUGACACAGCAAGAAUGAAUGGUAUCCAACCAUUCAGGAGGGUGCCCCCAUGACCCAAACCCCCACCAGGCCCCCUCCCAGCACUGCCACACUGAGGGUCAAAGCUCAACAUGAGACUUGAUGAGGGCAAACCAAUCACAUCCACAUCACAGCAUAUGGUAUUACUCAAGAAAAUCACUUUGAAAUGUUGGGGGUCCAAUGAUAAUAUCCUUGAGGAGUUAUAAAGGUGAUAAAGGGAUGAGUUUGACAAUUAUCAGGAUGGCAGGUCUGUAGUUCUGCUGCAGGAGGGUAUGAAGCAAACAGUUAGUAUGUGUAAAGAAGAGGCUCUGUGUGAAGCCAAGUCAAGGGAGUAAGGAGAUGAGAUGGAAAGCUGCAGCGGAGGAGAAGGCACUGGGGAGACAGUGGCCUUCCCAGAGGCUGAUAGGAGGCGGGCACCUCCUGGUGAAACAAAACAUUUUGGUAUCAAUUAUUGAGACUUCACAGACACUACUAACUCCUACCAGAUUUUCCUACAGGCAAGGGGUGCAGGGCUGUGGGUUUUGGUUGAGAUUACACCAGGAUCACGGGUUAGCGGACAGCAAGCUCAGCUCAUCACAGAAUCUCAAAUAUCAAAUUUGUGCCUUAGGAACCCCAGUCCAUGGGCAUCGCUGCUGAGGAGGUUCUGAAGAAGUGCGUGAAGUCACCUCCAGUGAAGGGAGGGGGAGUCGUCGGAGGGGUAGUCGUCUUAAUUGAGGUCUGUGCUGGGGUGAUGUCUCCACCAACAGUGGGCAUAUCAGGCAGGGUGGUGUCUGGGCUACCGCCUGCUCAGGAUGCUGUCACUAGGAGUCCGAGCACCAGGAUGAUGCAGUCCUGGCGUCACCUGUGACCCACAAGUUCUGGACUCAGGCAACUGUGAGUCAGUUCUAGCAGAGACCUGCAGGACUUAUUUCAGCCAAUCAGGAUGUCACCUGAGACCAGUCCAGGAGCCGCUACAACCCCACAAGCUGGUUCCCGCUAAUCUGAUGACCUUUAGUGUCAAUGCCAACAAUUAAAGGUGGCAACAGAUGAGCUAAAUAGCCACACUCAAUCCCACAAGAGAAACAUGGCACAACCCACUCCUCUCCACAACAAACACGUAACAUGAAGGUGCAUGGCUCUGUCCAUCCAGAAUUUCAAACACGUGACAUGAAGGUGCACAGGUCUGUCCAUCCAGGAUUUCAAACAUGUGACAGGAAGGUGCACGGGUCUGUCCAUCCAGAAUUUUAAACACGUAACAUGAAGGUGCAUGGGUCUGUCCAUCCAGAAUUUCAAACACGUGACAUGAAGGUGGACGGGUCUGUCCAUCCAGGAUUUCAAACACGUAAUAUGAAGGUGCACGGGUCUGUCCAUCCAGGAUUUAUUGUUCACCUCGUUGUAGAUUACCUUUAUACCGUGGGGAUUCAACACCACAGAAACAGUCACCAAGCAGCUGCUGCCCUGAUGGCCACAAAAAACAUAACCCAGGAUUGCUGCAGCCAGAGGACACACAUUCGUGUCACUCACAUGAAGUCUUGCUCUGCCACUGUGUGUGUUUAAGGGCCUCAUCCAAGAAGCGCCAGUGACAGGGCCAAGCGCCACAGAACAUCAGGACCAGCCGUGUCCCUGGUCUGUUUUCAUGGUACACAAAGGAGCAGCACACACACAAGCAGCAGCUGCCCCAGGAGUGCCGGGUCGCAGCAGCUGCCCCAUGAAUGCCGGAUCACAGCAGCUGCCUCAUCAGUGCCGGAUCGCAGCAGCUGCCCCAGGAGUGCCAGAUUGCAGCAGCUGCCAGGACCGCUCUGCAUGCUGUGAAGAGGAUCUGGAGGUCAACAAGGACACUCAGGGCUCUCACCCGUCCGGCACUGCCUAAGGUACAGGAAUUCCCUCCUCCCCACGUGGGGGGUGGUGGUUCUCCCUCCACGGCCAUGAAACGGGGGCAUCUCAGGGUACAGACCUCGCCCCUCUCCACUCUGCCCCUCCUUGCACCCUGGUGUUUUAUCUGAAGGGAUCAGGUAUGGGAGAGGAACAAGGGCAUUUUCAUAAAAUGUAGAGCUGUGUUAUGCCCCAACAUUGGCCAGUGUGGGACCCUACAGGUGGGUCAUGCCUAAGAGCAUGACUAACCAACCAGAGCCUACGCUGCUCAUACAGGAUCCCAUCUGGAUACUUAAGACUAACCAACCAGAGCCUACACUGCUCACACAGGAUCACAUCUGGAUCCUCAAGACUAACCAACCAGAGCCUACACUGCUCACAGAAUCACAUCUGGAUCCUCAACACUAACCAACCAGAGCCUACGCUGCUCACACAGGAUCACAUCUGGAUCCUCAAGACUAACCAACCAGAGCCUACGCUGCUCACACAGGAUCACAUCUGGAUACCUAAGACUAACCAACCAGAGCCUACACUGCUCACAGAAUCACAUCUGGAUCCUCAAGACUAACCAACCAGAGCCUACGCUGCUCACACAGGAUCACAUCUGGAUCCUCAAGACUAACCAACCAGAGCCUACAGUGCUCACACAAGAUCACAUCUGGAUCCUCAAGACUAACCAACCAGAGCCUACACUGCUCACACAGGAUCACAUCUGAGUCCUCAAGGCCUACUGUUAGCCAGGCUGCGACGUGGACACUGUAGCAACCAGACUGGAGGAUUUCUACAGGGAACAGAGUCCUCACUCCAAGAAUGAUCAGUGCAGCAUCAUAAAGAUUCAAAAUACGUCUACAGAACCCCCAGAAAGACAUGUCUCAAGUUAGCCCACAAGGUUUUAGAACACAGGGAAGCGACUGCUAUCUUCCAUACAUUCACAACACUUCAAGUGUCAAUCACCACGUUUACUAAAGGGUGAGGAAAGAUGUAAUGUAAAAAAUGACUUCCCAACAAUUCUCACCCUCCUAAGGUUUUUCUUCAUUGUGA
rnacentral:lncRNA from 1 species